GUUUCGUUUUUCUUUAAUCCAUAUUCAAACUUCACUGGUAACUUCUUAUUUUUAAGGCUGUGAUUGCAGUCUGAUUCUUUAUUUUCUUCCUGGAAUUUUCUCAGUUUACCGUUUAUGUAACUGAUGCGACAAACCCUGCCUUACUGUAUAUGAUUUGCGGGUAAAAGUCGCCGUCCCUCCCUUAAUGAAACCCAGUUGUUUACUUUCGGUUCGGAUCUGAUUCAUGUGCUAUAAUCGCCAGUUCAGGACUUAAUAGAGCUGGUCACAGCUUUUCAGAACGGCCCACACAGUGUAAAUCCCAUCUGGAAAUAUGUUUUUGUUCUGACCUGGAAUGGAAGCAAGUAUGUACAAGCAUUCCUGCAAACUGGAAAUCCAAAAUAUGUUGCGGUUGCACGUACUGGUGGAAAAAAUACUGAUCUUGUAACUUGCAUGUAGGCAUUUCGUUCUGAGCUCUGUUUUCUUUUGUAAUGCGUUCUGUUUUCAACGCGACGUCCCAACAGGAGCCAUCUGAUGACACCCCGGUGACAGCUGCAGAUGCUAGGACAGCGGUUCUGCCCCAUUGCAAGGGGAAAUGAGAUAAGCAAGGAAAAAAAGGGUAGGAUGCUGCAUGCUGUAAUAUUUGGGAGCAGCGAAAAGGGCUCUGGAGCGUCCUAGAAGUGCACUCGUGUAUGACACCAGGCUUUGCAUGUCAUUGGCAAAUGUAGAAAUCGUACAGGCAAAACACGUAUGUGGAAAGAGGAAACAAAAUCCCCCGGUCCGGUGUGAAACAUUGGAAUUUUGAAAUGAAAUUCCCAGAUCUUACAGCGUUGGGUUCCUGAGAGGAGAAACGUGCGCUUCAGUCUCUCUGGGGGAUGUGUUUGCGAGCAGCAUGGCUCUGGAGCACGCUGUUUGUAAUCAAGUAUCUCUGAUUAAAAGAAUGUUGAUGAAAGACUUCUGACCCAUCUCAAAAGCUUUAGAGCUAUUUCCCUCUUCUCUCAGUUUCUGCUGACUCCAGACGCUCGUGCUGUCAACGUUAUUUAGGAAUACCAUUUUUCCACGUUCAGUGCCGUUUUCUGAUAAAGUAAUAAUGGCAGAAAAAAAAAAUACCCUGCUGACAUGUUGAAGGCUGCCCAGGACUGCUGUGAGCAAGGUGACAUUUGCAGACAUGUGGGGUUUAGGUGGCUGCAUUCCCUCGUUAGCAGUUUUUAAUUGGCAUAUGGCGUGUCCGUGUGGCAGUGCAAGGAUUUCAGUAGGGCUGACCGACCCAGCUCCGGGCUAAUACAGCUGUUAUUUUAUUUUGCUUUCUACUACCCACGUAACUCCUGUAGACGUUUGGCUCCAGCUGUGCUGUGCUGGUCUAGAUGUGCAGUGAAAGGAGAUCUCGGAGCCCUGGCACCCCGCAGCAAGCUGCGUGUAGCCAUCGAGCCACCUCCACCCCACUCCAUCCUGGGAUGCGGGUGUCUCACAUCCCUGCUCCGUGCCAGCCGGCGGUGGAGGUGACCUGCCCGUGAGUCACUGCAGCGACUGCCUGCAGCUUUCCGCUCCUUGGCCCCUUCUAUUUUCGUGUCCAGCAAUUAUGAGGUGAGCCGUGAAUCACCACCAGUGUCUCGCUUUGCUCCGGGAGGAAACCAGGCAAGUUGCGUUAACGUGCUUGGCAGGAGGGCUUCUUGUUCUCCAGCCUUUUACAGGUUUUGGCCUCUUCUUCUCGUUCCCCGGGGCGACAUGCUCAUGUGUAGCCAUCACACAGGAUCUGAGCAAUGGCCAGACAGCCUCAGGCUCCUUCCAGCCAGGUCUCCUGGGCAGGAAGGGAUGCUUCAAAUGCCUGGGGGUCUCCCAAGGGCUUCCAAAGGCUUUUGUUGAUUCAUCCAUCCGGCCUGUGCACACAGGGUUUAGAUCAGAAAGAAGCAUCAGAUGGAGAGCUCAGAAGGAGGAAAAAUAACCCGUGUUGACACUGGCCUUCCCAGCAGCUGAUCGUGCAACAUUUCUGCCAUUCGCAGGGACAGUCGUGCCCCGAGGCUUGUUCUCCUCUCUUUGCCAUGCGGCGUGGUGCACAGCAGCACAGCUGCAUCAAAAUUCACCAGUAGGGCCAGGGGGGAAUCGCUGACCUCAUUCUGUAAGGCUUUGGGGAUCAGUCAGGAGAGGAAGGUGCAGGAGUUUGCUGCUGCUUUCUGUGAGACCCGCAGUGAUGCUGCCCCAGAGCUGGGGGCAUGAUUUUGCAUCCAGGAGUCCCCAGGCUGCAAGGGAGCCUGCUGGGGAUUGUCAGGCUGCCCCAGAGGGGAUGGAGGAGCCGUAAACCCACAGGAAUUUGAAAAACCUGCUUUAAUUUAGGAGGAAUGUCCUUUUGUUCCCAAAUGGAUGGGCCCUGCUCCAGAGGUGUUCAGGUGCAGUAACCGUUACCAGAUGGGCUGUGCAAUGCCACACAAACAGGUGGUGAGGACAACAGCCGUAGGCUUCAAUUUCCUCGUCAGCUUCUCUCUGUGCCUUACGUGCCCCUGGAGAAGGGCAGGAUGAGGGGAGCUGUCAGAUCGCUGUCUGGCGGCAGGAAGGAUGGUUGGGGGUUAUUCUGCAACUGCAUACGGUGGUUUGAGCCAUGGUGAGACUGUCAUCUGGGCCCAGGGGCUUAUUAAUUAACAUCAAAUACAAUUUACUGGCAUGUGCCUUUUUUAGGUACAAUAAUGAGUGGACGUUGAUGUGUAUUCCUGGGCAUAUUGGCGUAGAUCCUCCCAGGUAGGGCUGCUCUGACAUUGCCCACCCAGUGUGCUUGGGAGCAUGAAACGCCUUGCUGGUUUGGGUGGGAUCCCAUACAUGCACAGGGUUAAGUGGUGUCCUGAAAUCCAGGGACCGGGACCCUUAACUAAGGACAAACGCAAGGCAAUGGCAUUCCAGUCCUGCUGGCAGCUCGAGGCUGCUUUAUGGGGUCAGCCGUGGCCUCCUGCUCCCGCAGGCUGGUGCCUUGCUCUCUUCUUGCUUCCGUGUGGCUUCCCAUGGUGGCUGAAGUGUUUGUUGUACUGGCGAGUGGUUAUAUUUCAGCACAGGUAGGCUAUCAGGAAAAAAAAAAAUAGUUUUGUAACCUCCAGCUUGUGCUAAUGAAGAGGAUUCAGAUCUCUGGAGCCGUCACUCACUGCUUGCCCUGCACGUUCGUAGCUCCACCACGGGGAGAUGGUGCAGAGCGGCUAUCUGCUAAGGGUUACUGAGCUGCUGAGAGUUUCGGAGUUACUCUGGUGACUCUAGGUGCAGGCAGUGGGACUCCAGACGUAUGGAUGAACUGGUUUACUGCCAGACUAAAUACAAGCCAGGCACAACACAAUAUGUGUACCUACGGGACGACGUUUGCUGCUCACCACCUUGCUGGCAAGGGAAGGGACCGCUGGGGAGUACACAACAAUUCUUCAGCCAGCAAUAUCCAAUGUUCAUAUGCUCAGCCUCUCCCUCACUGGGCUUUUUGUUCCCCGUCAUGAUGCUAUCCACGUCCAACUCCCUGUCUUUGUGUGUCCUUGUGUGAGCAUACAAGUGAAAAGUUUUGUGCUUGUCUCUUUGAUGCACAGAGUGGUACUGCCUCGGCUGUAGCCAAGCCCGGAGUCACGGCUGGUUCCUUGCCCUUUUCUUACACAGAGCUGUGCACACCUCCUCAGGCAGUGAGAGCUGGCCUGGGCCUCAUGCUUCCCCCUGAGGACUCUGUUAUGUCCCUCUAAAAAACGUGAAGUCCAGGGCUUCGUGGUUCUUCAUGCUCAGGAAAGGUUUCCAGCAUUGUCAGAGUGGGGAGAUGCAUUUUUACUGUUUAGUUUCUUUUUAGAGGUAAGGAAGCUGAGGGAUGGGGUAGCUAUAGAUCUGGCC